UACGUAGGAUGCAAGCGUUUGUCCGGAUUUACUGGGCGUAAAGCGCGUGUAGGCGGCUAAGUAAGUCGGGCGUGAAAUCCCACGGCUCAACCGUGGAAGUGCACUCGAAACUGCAUAGCUAGAGUCCUGGAGAGGAAGGUGGAAUGCUUGGUGUAGAGGUGAAAUUCGUAGAUAUCAAGCGGAACACCGGUGGCGAAGGCGGCUCACUGGCCCCGGUACUGACGCUGAGGUGCGAAAGCGUGGGGGAGCAAACAGG
rnacentral:rRNA from 1 species